rnacentral:rRNA from 1 species
CCUACGGGAGGCAGCAGUGGGGAAUAUUGGACAAUGGGCGAAAGCCUGAUCCAGCCAUGCCGCGUGUGUGAAGAAGGCCUUCGGGUUGUAAGGCACUUUCAGUGGGGAAGAAAGCCUUGGGGCUAAUACCCUCGAGGAAGGACAUCACCCACAGAAGAAGCACCGGCUAACUCCGUGCCAGCAGCCGCGGUAAUACGGAGGGUGCGAGCGUUAAUCGGAAUUACUGGGCGUAAAGCGCGCGUAGGCGGUCUGAUAAGCCGGUUGUGAAAGCCCCGGGCUCAACCUGGGAACGGCAUCCGGAACUGUCAGGCUAGAGUGCAGGAGAGGAAGGUAGAAUUCCCGGUGUAGCGGUGAAAUGCGUAGAGAUCGGGAGGAAUACCAGUGGCGAAGGCGGCCUUCUGGACUGACACUGACGCUGAGGUGCGAAAGCGUGGGUAGCAAACAGGAUUAGAUACCCCUGUAGUC